AUUGAACGCUGGCGGCAUGCUUUACACAUGCAAGUCGAACGGCAGCGCGGGCUUCGGCCUGGCGGCGAGUGGCGAACGGGUGAGUAAUGCAUCGGAACGUGCCCAGUAGUGGGGGAUAGCCCGGCGAAAGCCGGAUUAAUACCGCAUACGACCUGAGGGUGAAAGCGGGGGACCGAAAGGCCCCGCGCGAUUGGAGCGGCCGAUGUCGGGUUAGGUAGUUGGUGGGGUAAAGGCUUACCAAGGCGACGAUCCGUAGCUGGUCUGAGAGGACGACCAGCCACACUGGGACUGAGACACGGCCCAGACUCCUACGGGAGGCAGCAGUGGGGAAUUUUGGACAAUGGGGGCAACCCUGAUCCAGCCAUGCCGCGUGCGGGAAGAAGGCCUUCGGGUUGUAAACCGCUUUUGUUCGGGAAGAAAUCCUCUGGGCUAAUACCCCGGGGGGAUGACGGUACCGGAAGAAUAAGCACCGGCUAACUACGUG
rnacentral:rRNA from 1 species